CUGCGACCUCUUUAUGAAUCAUCAAAAGUUGUGGCCCAGAAAACGACAAUUGCGGCCCUGCGUUAUAUCAGGCAGAUAGCUCAAGAGACCAGUGGUGAGGUGGUAUAUGGUUUAGGCCGGCAACCAGCUGUUUUGAGAACUUUUAGCCAAAGAUUAAGCAGAGGAUUCAAUGAUGCAAUCAAUGGUUUUAAUGAUGAUGGCUGGUCACUGACGAGUUGUGAUGGAGCUGAAGAUGUUAUCAUUGCUGUUAAUUCAACCAAGAACUUGAGCAGCACUUCCAAUCCUGCUAAUGCCCUUUCAUUCCUUGGAGGGAUUCUAUGUGCAAAGGCUUCCAUGCUAUUGCAAAAUGUCCCUCCUGCAGUCCUGGUU
rnacentral:misc_RNA from 1 species